rnacentral:misc_RNA from 1 species
UUAAGUUCAGCGGGUAUCCCUACCUGAUCCGAGGUCAACAUUUCAGAAGAUGAUGGGGGGUUUUACGGCGAGGCCGCGCCGCCGUCCGGUGCGAGCGUGCAAGCUACUGCGCAGGGGAGGCUACGGCGGGACUGCCACUGUAUUUAGGGGGCGGCGCCCUGGAGGCGGGGCCGGUCCCCAACGCCGAGCCCCCGAGGGGG